AAACCAACCCGAACUCGCUCACUUCAGCGUCCACCAUUCUCGUUAUCUUUAACCGCUUUGGACAGCUCGGCCAGCUUUCCGCUCUCACCCUCUUCUGCAACUCGUCCUCCACCACCACUAAUGGCAGCUGACCUUCUUCUCUCUCCUCCCUUCUCCAAAAAAAUGGGAUGAGCAAAGUGUGCUUGCAUCACAUGAUGCAGUCUGCCCAUUUGUAAAAAGGCAGCAACGCCUUCUCUGUUUGCCUCCCGAAAGAGAAUUGCAGCAUCAAGCUUUUCAUGGUACCUGUUAGAGCCUUUGCCCUCUGCUGGACCUCCAGCAGAACUUUUGCUUCUGUUGGCUCAUUGGAUAGAAACCUGGCAGCCCAAGAAAAGCACUUUCAAGGGUUCAGAACUUCUUUUAAGCAAUCAAGUAAUAGAUUGGAUGGGAUGAAAAGUUUUGAGAGAGAGUUGCAAGAGUUACUUGAUGAAGUCAAAAGGUUGAUUAUGAUGGGGAACAAAAAUGAUGGUAUAGACCUACUUCAAGCCAAUUAUGAGGCUGUGAUUCUGUGAAGGAAAGGAUGAAUGCCGGCGUUAGAGGCAUUGAAAAAGCUGCCACCAUUGACAUCACAGCUCUAGGAUACAUGGCUAUUGGCUACUGGCUAUAGUAAUUUCUUUUUUCCUUCUCUAGGGAAAGCAUGUAUAGUUUUUCUCUCCCAUUGCCCUCUGUAAGCUGUAAUUGCUCUCCUUUUUGUUGGUGCAUUUUAAUGGACGACCAGUUGAAUGAAGUUGUUGACAGUGUGAAGGAUGGUGAACCGCUUCUGGAUUCAGUCCUCGUGCACAUGGGGAGCAUGUAUUCAACUCUGGGGAAGUUUGAGAAAUCAAUGUCUGCGUACAGGAGGGCUGUCAGUAACAUGGAGAACAGAUACGGUAAGCUCUCUUGUCAAUUUGGAGCUUUUACUACUCGUAACUCAGUUGGCUGUUCCGAAUUGGGUUAUACGUCUUCUUUGGUGAAUGAUACUUGGUGGUCAAAUUACUCGAUCUCCUUAAAAUGCAUUACAAUAAUGUUGUGCAUGAGUAUUAUUUAGUGGGCAUAAUCUAACACAAAAUGAAGUCAUGAUGUAUGUGACUUUGCACGAUUCCAUUGUGGCUUCACUGAUUGCUGCCUGCAAGAUUGGGGUUUUUUUUGUGUGUUUGUUGAGUGGUUAUUGCCAUCUUUUCUUCAGGGAAAAAUAGUGUUUUUCUUACCAUGCCAAUUUUGGGCAUGGCAAAAGUUCUCAGCUCCAUCAGAAGAACUUCAAAAGCAGUAGAAUCCUACAAUUGUGCAAUAACUCUUCUAGAAUCAAGCAGAGAUUUGGUCGUACCUUUAUUUGGCCUCGGCAAUCUUGAGCAAGUCCACCCCUCCUUUAGAGACGGGCCCAAAGCCUAAAAAAAUAGGCUGGCACCCAAAAAAACCCCUCCAACCCUAAAAAUAGGCCAGCCCAAAGUCCAAGUUAGGUUGUAAGCCGGCCCAAAAUGGGUUGAGGUAGGAACCGGCCUAUCUGACGUCAUAGCAUGACGUCAGUGGACAACAUAAAUUUUUUUUGCGUUAGGCGUGUGGGCGCGCAUCCCUGACAAGGUGACAAGCGCCGGGCCUGCGUUGCAGGCACACUAAAGGGACGCAGGACAUGGGCCACGUGGCUAAGCCUUGGCUGUUGGAUUUCCAAUGGUCAAAAAAAUUUGAAAUUCAAACCCAACGGUUAGUGACACGGCACAAUCUGGACCGUUUGAUUUUCAGAUCAACGGUCUAGAUUUUGGCAAAAAAACUUAACAAAAGAAGAUAAAAUGUCAGAAAUUAAUGAUAUUUUUUUUAUAAAUAAAGAAAAUGCCAAAAAUUAAAAUAAAAAUAAUGUUGUAAAAUUGUGAGAAUGAAUGCCCAUAGUAGUGUAAUUGUUGUUAUGUAAUAUUUUCAAAAGAACGAUAAUGUGUUGUUGUGGGAAGUUUUAAAAAAGAGCAAUCAUUGCACUUUUGGUUUGUCACGAAUGUGGCUCUAUAUAAAGAGCAUUUCAUGUGUGACUACAAUACACAACAAAGAAAAGAAGUGAAAGCAAUAAUAUCAGUAUCCAUCCAUUCCUCUUUUUCCUAAAUUUUUUUUGUGUUAACAUUACAAAACUAAACAGUGUGAUAUUUUGCAUCCCUUCUCUCUGUCCUUAGAUAAGGUUAUAUUUAUAAUUUUUGCCUAUUUAUAACAUGUUAUCAGCACGACUCUCUAACCUUAACCAGUUCUCAUCUCCCUUCACCGAAAAAUGCUUCCUCUAAGGAUUUUAUUGUUCUUCUUCCUCCUUUGCCGCACCUGCUUGAUGUACCCUUGCCAAGAUCUGCUAGCACUAUGAUUGCUCCUAGUUCUCAAUAUAACAAUUACUUAUAUUUUUUAUUUCUUGUUUGGUGUAGCUCAUGACUACUAACCCAGUGUUUAUUUAUGUUAAUUUUACUGUGAUCAAAUAUGGUGCGGUACAAUCGCCCAUCUUGAACUGCAGAUUUAAUUUUACUGCAAUUUGAGGUGGUGCAGUAUAAUCGUCCACCUUGCACUGCAUAUUUAAAUUUUCCUACUGCUUCAGUGGUGCGGUAUAAUCGCCCACCUGAUGUUAUAUUGUUUCAAUGAGAGCGGUGCGGUACAAUUGCUUCCUUAUUAAUCAUGUAAAUCUCGAGCCUGAAGUUUCGAGUGCUUAUUAUUUUGCACUGAAGAUCAAAAUGAAAAAUUUGUAAGAACUAGAAGUUUUAACACUACAUUCCUCCAUAAUACAUUAUUGCAAGUUCUUUCUCAUAUCAUUUUUCUUUCAGAAAAGAAAAUGGCGAACUUGGUAAAGUUUUAUUUUGUUGCCUUGGAUAUUGCUGGGAAAAACUACCUUACCUGGGUAGUGGAUACCAAGAUUCAUCUGGAGGCAGGGAAUCUUGAAGAAACUAUCAAGGAGGAAUAUAGUACAUCUUCUCAAGAUCGGGCAAAGACCAUAAUCUUUAUUUGUCCCCACCUUGAUGAAGGAUUGAAAAGCGAUUACCUAACGGUUGAAGAUCUAUUUGCCCUCUGGAAGGCAUUGAGAAAUAGAUACAAUCACCAGAAAAUAGUGAUUCUUCCAAGGGCUCGUUAUGAGUGGACACACCUAAAUAUCAGGAUUUCAAGUCGGUUGCUGAGUACAACUUUGCAAUGUUCAAAAUUAGCUCCCAGAUGAAGCUUUGCAUGGAGACCAUUACUGAGAAAUAUAUGCUGGAAAAGACUUUCAGCACCUUUCAUGCCUCCAACGUGCUCCUGCAACAGCAAUAUAGGGAGCGAGACUUUUGAGUAAACCAGCUGAUAUCGAUGCUCUUCGUGACUGAACAAAACAAUGAGCUUCUGAUGAAAAAUCAUCAAUCUCGACCUACUGGAUCGAUGUUAUUCCUAAAAGUGAAUGAUGCUUCCCUUGAAGUGAAUAUCACAUCCUUUCGUGGCAAUAAUUACAAACGACGACGUGGCCAUAGACGAAGCUGGUGGAACGAGAAAGGUAAUAAUCAUGGUGUCCAGUUUUAGUACCAAAGUCUAAGUCAUAAUUCAGGUUCGAAUUUCAAAAAUGUAAAUCGUUACAAAGUUAAAACUCAUAUGAAUAACACUCCUAGAAAUUCUGAAGGAGUCUGCCAUAGGUAUGGUGACAAUGAGCAUUAGACGCAUAUUUGUCGUACCCCAAAACAUCUGGUGGACUUGUAUCAAGCCUCCCUCAAGGAGAAGGGUGUUAAAACCAAUUUCCUUGACUAGGCUAAACCAAUGGAUGUACUUGAUCCAGUGUGCGAUUUAUCAGGGCAAUUGUACAUAACCCACCUCGAUAUCUCAAACUUCAUUGUGGAAAGAAUGAAUGAAGUGUAGUGAUUCGAUUGAAUCAUUUCUAUUUGAUGUACUCAUAUUAUUGCUUUCAUUUUUUUUCUUUGAUGUGUAUUGUAAUCACACACGGAAUGCUCUUUAUAUAGAGUCACAUCCGUGACAAAUCAAAAGUAAAAUGAUUGCUCUUUUUGAAAACUUCACACAACAAGGUAUUUCAUUUCAAAAUUGCUUUUCAAUAUUCAGCUUUUCAAGGAUUCCAACUAAAUUCUUGUCGUCGACAUAUACUACCACUACAGCAAAUCCAGAAUUUGAUUUCUUAAUGAACACAUAAGGGCAAAUGACAUUGUUGGUAUAUCCUCUUUGAUCAAAUACUCACUGAGACGAUUCUACCACAUUCAUCCAGAUUGUUUCAGCCUAUAUAACGAUCGCCUUAAUUUGAUUGAGAGCAUACCUUAUGAUUUAUUAGUCGUUUCAGGCAACUUAAGUCCUUCUGGGACCUUCAUAUAUAUGUCAGUAUAUAAUUCUCCAUAUAGAUACGCGGUGAUGACAUCCAUAAGUUGCAUGUCAAGUUUUUCUGAAACCACCAAUCUUAUUAAGUAACAGAACGUAAUUGCAUCCAUUACAGGAGAGUAUGUCUCUUCAUAAUCAAUUCCAGGUCUUUGUGAAAAACCUUGUGCAACAAGUCAUGCUUUAUAUCUUGCAAUUUCAUUUUUUUCAUUGCGCUUUCUUGUGAAUAUCCAUUUGUAAUCCACAGGGUUCACACCAAUCGGGAUUUGGAUUACCGGUCUAAAAACACUUCAUCUUUCUAAGGAAUUUAAUUCUGUUUGGAUUGCAUCUUUCCACUUAGGCUAAUCUUGUCUCUGUUUGCAUUCAUCAACAAAGCAGGGCUAGAUAUCAUCUCUUAUUCUUCAGAUAAUAAGAGUACAUCAAACAUAAAUGAUUCAAUAAAACCGAUACAUUUCAUUCCCUCUUUCCACAAUGAAGUCUGAGACAUCCAGGUAGGUUGUGUUCAGUUGCCCUAAUAAAUUGCACACUGGAUCAGGUAUAUCCAUUGGUUUAGGCUGGUCAAGGAAAUUGGUUUUGACACCAUUCUCCUUGAGGGAGGCUUGAUACAGGUCUACUAGAUGUUUUGGGGUAUGACAUGUACGUGCCCAAUGCCCAUUGCCACCACACCUAUGGCAAAACUCCUUUAGGAUUUCUAGGAGUGUUAUUCAUAUGAGCUUUACCUUUGUGGCGAUUUACAUUUUUGAAGCUCAGGCCUAAAUUAUGCCUUGGACCCUAGUUGUAAAACUGGACAACAUGAUUCUUGCCUUUUCCAUUCCAUCGGCCUUGCAUGUGGCCACAUUCUCGUUUGUAAUUAUUGCCACGAGAGGAUGUGGUAUUCACUUCAAGGGAAGCAACAUUCAUUUCUGGGAAUGACGCCAAUCCAGUAGGUCGGGACUGAUGAUUUUUCAUCAGGAGCUCAUUGUUUUGUUCAGCCACAAAGAGCAUCGAUAUUAGCUGGUUGUACUCAGUAAAGCAUUGAUUUCUAUAGUGCUGCUGCAGGAGCACGUUGGAGGCAUGAAGGGUGCUGAAAGUCUUUUCCAACAUAUCUUCCUUAGUGAUGGUCUCCCUAUAAAGCUUCAUCUAUGAGCUAAUAAUGAAUAUUGCAGAGUUGUACUCAGCAACUGACUUGAAAUCUUGGAUCCUUAGGUGUGUCCAUUUAUAACGAGUCAUUGGAAGAAUCACCGUUUUCUGGUGAUUGUAUCUAUUUCUCAAUGCCUUUCAGAAGGCUAAUGGAUCUUCAACCGUUAGGUACGUGUUCUUCAAUCCUUCAUCAAGGUGGCGACGGAUAAAGAUCAUGGUAUUUGCCCGAUCUUGAGAGAAUGCAUUGUUUUCCUCCUUGAUAGUUUCUCCAAGAUUUCCUGCCUCUAGAUAGAUCUUGGUAUCCACUACCCAGGUAAGGUAGUUAUUCCGAGUAAUAUCCAGGGCAACAAAAUAAAGUUUUGCCAAGUUCGCAAUUUUCUUUUCUGAAAGAAAAAUGAGAUUUGUAAGAACUUGCAAUAAUAUGUAUUAAGGAGAAAUGUAGUGUUAGAACUUCUAGUUCUUACAAAUUUUUCAUUUUGAUCUUCAGGUCAAAAUGAUAAGCACUCAAACUUCAUUCUCGAGAUUUACAUGAUUAAUGAGAAGAGCAAUUGUACUGCACCAUUCUCAUUGAAACAAUAUAGCAUAGGAUGAGCGAUUAUACCGCACCAAUCAAGCAGUAGGAAAAUUUAAAUUUGCAAUGCAGGGUGGACGAUUAUAUCGCACCACCUAAAAUUGCAGUAAAAUUAAAUUUGCAGUUCAAGAUGGGCGAUUGUACUGCACCAUCGUUGAUCGCAGUAAAAUUAACAUAAACACUGGGUUAGUAGUCAAGAGUUACACCAAACAAGAAAUAAAAAUAUAAGUAAUUGUUAUAUUGAGAACUAGGAGCAUGCAUGGUGCUAGCAAAUCUUGGCGAGGGUACAUCAAGCCAGUGAGGCAAAGAAGGAAGAAGAAUAGUAAAAUCCUUGAAGGAAGCAUUUUUCAGCGAAAGGAGAUGAGAAUUGGUUAAUGUUAGAUAAUCGUGCUGAUAACGUGUUAUAAAUAGGUAAAAGUUAGAGAGAUAACCUUUGCUGGGGACAUGAUAGAAGCAGGUACAAAAUAUCACAUUAUUUAGUUUCGUAACAAUAAUACAAAAAGAUUGCAGGAAAAAGAGGAAGGGAGUGAUACUGAUAUUAUUGCUUUCACUUCUUUUCUUUGUUGUGUAUUGUAAUCACACAUGGAGUGCUCUUUAUAUAGAGUCACAUCUGUAACAAACCAAAAGUGAAAUGAUUGCUCUUUUUUAAAACUUCACACAACAACAAUUACACUACUAUUGCUCUUUUGAAAACAUCACAUAACAACAAUUACACUACUGUGAGCGUUCAUUCUCACAAUUUUACAACAAGUAUCCCUCAUUUCCUCUUUUUCCUGCAAUAUUUUUGUGUUAUAGUUACGAAAUUAAAUAGUGUGAUAUUUUGCACCCACUUCUCGCCUGUCCCUAGUAAAUGUUAUCUUUCUAAUUUUUGCCUAUUUAUAACAAAUAAAAUAAUUAUUUUAUUAUUAUUUUAUAAUAAAAAAAUUAAUAUUUUAAUAAAAUGGACUGGGUUAUUUAGUUUUAAGGGUGGAGAUGCACUUGGCCAAUUAUUAUUCAUUGCAGUCAAUUACUAUUCAUUUGGGUAGAUUAAAUGGAUUUUAGGGCAGCUCAUUUUUUAAAGGUGGAGUUGCUCUUAAAGAAUGAAAGUCUACCGAGGCAGAAACUCCUUUUCUAAGAGUUUUGAACAUAUUCAAAAAAUUAUGGAGAAAAUGAUGGACGAGUUGGAAUGGCUAUGUGCUCCCUGGCCCGUGUGAAGUGUGCAAUCUGUCUGUCUGUGUGUGCGUGUGUGUUGAUCUCUCUCUCUCUCUCUCUCUCAAUAGCUUCUCAGUUUCAAGGCUCUAAUUCGUUACAGGAAAUGCAAAUGAAGCCAUCUCUUUAUAUAGAAAAGCUCUCGAAGUGAUCAUGUCUUCCAAUUAUAUGGCCUUAGAUGACAGCAUAAUGGAUAAGAUGAGGAUAGAUUUGGCAGGGUUACUUCAUGCUGUUGGAAGGUAGAGUUAAUUGACCAUUGCGAUUAUUCAAAGCUAAUUUCAUAAGUUUCUGGAAAGCAGAUUGUGCUGCCGUUGUAUGAUAGUGGCGGUUGUUUAGUUAUUACUCUGACUAGAUGUUGACGGGUACACUCGGCAGGCGUCUUAAUUUUUUCUAAUCGGAAAACCUACAGUUUCUCUCUCUUUUAGCAUAUGAAUUUGACAGGUGCUUGCAGAGGAAAGGAAGGCCGAGAGCUGCUGGAGGAAUGUCUGAUGAUCACAGAAAGAUAUAAAGGUAAAGAGGACCCGAGCUCAGCGACACACCUUAUUAAUCUUGCAACUUCGCAUUCACGCUCAAAGAAUUAUGUGGAGGCUGAGCGCUUGCUGAGGGCAAGUUUGCAGAUCUUGGCAAAGACAGUGGGCCUGAUGAACAAUCCAUCUCGUUUCCAAUGCUGCACCUCGCAGUUACACUCUACCAUUUGAAACGGGAUGAAGAAGCUGAACAGCUUGCCCUGGAGGCUUUGCGCAUUCGUGAAAAACCAUUUGGAAAGGGACUCCCUUCCCGUUGUGGAGGCUCUCGACUGUUUGGUGUCAUUCAAACCAGAUUAACGAAGGACGACGAAUCGUUACUCGGUCCCCUGAAGAGGGUUUUGAGCAUCCAUGAGAAAGAGUUCGGUCCCGAGAGCGAGGAGGUAACGAUCACCUUGAAAAAAAUUGUAUUCUAUUUGAACAAACUAGGGAGGAAAAACAACGUUUUCCCUCUGCAGAAUAGAUUGUCUGCACUUCGAUUGAAAUUUAAGCAGCGGAUUCAACUUAAUUACGUCUUGUGAUUAAGCUUAAUUCGUUCAGUAAUCUUCAUAAUCUAAACUUUAAUUUUGUUGGCA